GCGCUGGUAGUCUAGUGGUAGGAUCACAGCCUUCCAAGCUGUUGACCCGGGUUCAAAUCCCGGCCGGCGCA
rnacentral:tRNA from 1 species